GACGAACGCUGGCGGCGUGCUUAACACAUGCAAGUCGAACGAUGAAGCCCAGCUUACUGGGUGGAAGAGUGGCGAACGGGUGAGUAACACGUGAGUAACCUGCCCAUCACUCUGGGAUAAGCGCUGGAAACGGCGUCUAAUACUGGAUAUGAACAGCGGCCGCAUGGUCAGUUGUUGGAAAGAUUUAUUGGUGAUGGAUGGACUCGCGGCCUAUCAGCUAGUUGGUGAGGUAAUGGCUCACCAAGGCGACGACGGGUAGCCGGCCUGAGAGGGUGACCGGCCACACUGGGACUGAGACACGGCCCUGACUCCUACGGGAGGCAGCAGUGGGGAAUAUUGCACAAUAGGCGGCAAGACCUCGAUGC
rnacentral:rRNA from 1 species